rnacentral:rRNA from 1 species
GAUGAACGCUGGCGGCGUGCCUAAUACAUGCAAGUCGAGCGAACAGACGAGGAGCUUGCGCCUCUGACGUUAGCGGCGGACGGGUGAGUAACACGUGGAUAACCUACCUAUAAGACUGGGAUAACUUCGGGAAACCGGAGCUAAUACCGGAUAAUAUAUUGAACCGCAUGGUUCAAUAGUGAAAGACGGUUUUGCUGUCACUUAUAGAUGGAUCCGCGCCGCAUUAGCUAGUUGGUAAGGUAACGGCUUACCAAGGCAACGAUGCGUAGCCGACCUGAGAGGAUGAUCGGCCACACUGGAACUGAGACACGGUCCAGACUCCUACGGGAGGCAGCAGUAGGGAAUCUUCCGCAAUGGGCGAAAGCUUGACGGAGCAACGCCGCGUGAGUGAUGAAGGUCUUCGGAUCGUAAAACUCUGUUAUUAGGGAAGAACAAAUGUGUAAGUAACUAUGCACGUCUUGACGGUACCUAAUCAGAAAGCCACGGCUAACUACGUG